AAAGUAUGUUGCCUUUGACAAAGCAACAUGCAAUGCUCCAACUAAAAUUGUAGAAGAGAAGCAAUUACAUCUGCUUCAGGGAAAUAAAAGGGCAAGUGUGACUCUGAAUCUUUUUACGCACAUUUAGCGUUCAGUUGUAAGUAUGUGAAGCAGGACCCAACUUUCUUUUCUUUUAAAGAUACCAUGUUGCAUCAUCUUUCUACCACAUGGACACUGUCACAUUUGCUGACUAAUCCCACAAUUAGGAUGUGAGAAACUUCCUGAUAAAUUAGACUGAGCCAUGCCAUUGUUUUACUAGCCAAGGACUGCCUAAUUUGGCAGCAGCUAUCCAAGGUAAGGCAAGUGAAAAUAUCUGUAUACUGUAUUAUUUAAAGUAGUUGAAUGUGGUACCAUAUCAUCCAAGUUUAAAUUGUUUACGUUUGGCCCUAUUUUGCUACUUGAGAUUCCCCAGCCUGUUUGAAAGCAGCAAAUUACUAAACAUGGGAAACUUUUCUGAAAUAAAAAGGUAUUGAGAAAAGAUCUAAACAGAAAAUGAAAGGGAGCUAGUAAAUCUUUAUAAAGGCUUUUCACUAUUUUGGCAUCACCACUGAAAAAGCUUUUUAAAUUGUUAGCUGAAAUUGUUUUUAAUUUGUUGCGUUGCUUUAAAAUCUGUAUUUACUCAUUUUUUUUAAUUUUAAAUGUAAACUGUAAUAUGAUAAAAUUCAAAAAUACAUUUUACUUUAUCUUACAACAAAUAAUUUUGCAUUAGGUCACUGAAAGCAAUCCCAGAGACAACAGUGUCAAUGUUCAGUCACAGGAAACAAAGGAAAUAGGAUUUCAAUGACACAUUUGGAGCCCAGAUGUUUUGGCGCAUGAAAUAGAUAAAAGUUCAGGAAACUGUUUUCUAGGCUGAGUAAAAUAUGCAUGCAGCAGCAUAGUACUUUCAUAAGUGGGCAUUUCAGUGUACCUAAAUGAGCAGCUAGAUUGAAUGGAUAUUGUGAAAGGAAUAGUGAAGAAAAUGGAAAGAAUAUGCAAGAUAAUAGAAAAAAGUGAAGGUGAAGCCAAGUUUGUUGUUUGAUGUUUGUGUCUCAUCCCAAGGUGAGAUAUGUUAGCAAUUUCCUCAGAUUUUCUGGAGGCAAAAUGCUUUAUGCAAACCAUUUCCAAAUAGUUCCUUCGCUGUGUCACCACUGUUCUAAGCAUGACUCUAUUUUAUCUAUUCCAUCUUUAACUAUAUUCAUCAAUGCUACAUCUGCAUUGACAGAGUGCCCCACCAUUAUAUCUGAGGCUUUGUGCAGCUGUAUCUGUCAUCUAGUGUUGUGCAGGCAUAGUGGGGCUUCCAAUAUAUCACAUUACCUCUCAUCUAGUGUAACAAGUAUAGGACUGCAUCCAUAGUGCAUCAAAUGAGCAUGUGGAUUGGCUGUUAAUAUAAAUACAUUUGUAUUACCAUUUUUGGUCCAAGACAUAACCUUGAUGCAACCUAUGUAAUUCUAUGUGUUGUGUUCAUUCCUACAACUCAGACGUAGUUGUUACAACUGCUUCAGAGCAGAAAAAUAACAACUGCCCACAGAGCAACUGAGUUCUCCCAUUCCCUUCAGAACUUUAAACUAAAUCCUGAGAGUGAUGGAGACGAUAUUACAGAUAACAGGGAAGCACCUGAUACUGGGGAUAAUAGUUUCAUUGAUGCACAGGAAACUGAGGCAGUGCUACAGAAACCUGAUAAAUGGCAAGAAACUACAAAAAGGAAACAGCUGGAGGGAAUGACUCAUGGUUUCAGUUGUUUCUACCAAUGCACAGAGUAUGGGAAACAAGCAGGACAAAUUUGAGCUCUCAAUAAAGUAUGGCAAAUAUGACCUAAUAGGCAUUACUGGAAUGUAGAAAUGGUAAGGUAUAUAUCAGAACAAACAGACCAAACAGGGAGGGAGGAGGAGUAGCAUUAUAUGUAAAGAAUGUGUACACUUGUGAAGAGAUCCACGACUUGGAGCAUGGAAGGCAGAUUGUGGGUGUAUGGGUAACAUUUGUAGGAGAAGGAAACUACACUAGCCUUACUGUGGGUGUCUGCUAUAAACCUCCAAGCCAGACUGAAGCCUUCCUGGAGCAGAUUACCUAGCAUUCAAAAAGGAGAGAUAUAGUAGUUUGGGAGACUUCAACUACCCCAUAUCUGUUGGAACACAAACUAUGCCAAGAAUUCCUCCAUUGCCUCACUGACAAUUUCAUUUCCCAAAAGGUGGAAGAAGCGACAAGGGAAUAAUCUAUCUUGGACCCGGUUUUCACCAAGGGGAGAACUAACUGAUAAAGUGGAAGUACUAGGAAUCUUGGGAGGAAGUAAUCAUGUGCUACUGGGUUUCAUUAUACAAGGGCAGGGGAAAGCUGAGUGCAGUCAGACAUUGUCAUGGACUGGCUGGAUGCAGAGAAGUAAUGGGAGGCACUAGCUGGCGAACUCCCAAGGGAACCUCCAGGCAAAGAAAGCUCAGAGCCAGGGGAUUGGUGGUUGGACAACAAUGAGAAGAGAAGACUGGGAGGAGGAGGUGUCAGAAGCUGAAGAGGUAACGGUUUAGUGAACAGGAGGAGGCUCUGGCAGAGUGCAGUUGUGACUUCUGAUGUAGAAGCAAAGGGGAGGUCAAAAGGCUGACUGGAGGCAGGCUGCUGAAUAAGCCAGAGUAUCUCCCCUUCCUGCUGUGAUCACCCCCCUCUCCCAAAACACACAGAGAAAUGAAAAGGGCAAAGCAAAGAGAGGCAAGAUGCCAGAGCCUUAGGCUGCUGGGGAAGGAACCAGGGGAGGAACCUUAGAAAUACCUACUGGGAAGAGUUGCUGUGAUCACUACGCCUGUACUGUUUUAGUUUCUUUCAAUAAAGAGUUAACUUCACUGACACCAGUGGUUUUUUUAUUGCUGAUCUCUGACUCUGGCUCAUGACAGCUAUGUACUCUGGAGAUAUGAUAGCCAUCUUCAAAUAUUUGAAGGGCUGUCACAUGGAAGAUGAAGCAAGCUUGUUUUCUCCUGCUCCAGAGGCUAGGAUCCCAACCAAUGACUUCAAGUUAAAAGAAAGGAGAUUCCGACUAAACAUCAGGAAUAACUUUUUUAUGGUAAAAGCUGUUCAACAGUAGAAUGGACUCCCUCGGAAGGUGGUGGACAUUCGUUGCAGGUUUUUAAGCAGAAGUUGGAUAGCCAUCUAUCAUCGAUGCUUUAGCAUUGCAGGGGGUUGGACUAGAUGACUUUCCAGAUCCCUUUCAACUCUACAGUUCUAUGAUUCUAUGAUGUAGUAUAAUUUCUUUCCAGACAUAAUUACCCUCUCCAUUUCCACAGUCUCACUUUACACAAAUGAAAGUCACUGGCAGAUGCAGGGAAGUGCUCAAGAUAACUGUCAGGAAACAGGACAUUGUUUACAAAGUGGGAGCAGGAUAAUUCAGCACAUUUUCUGAGGAAGUCCCGGCUUCUAAGGUGCAUUUCUGCCCUAAGAGUGUUUAUGUUAUCAAUGCAAGCACAACAGUUCUUAGUGGUUUUUAAUCUGGUGGUACAUACCUAUUUUUGCAUGUCACUAACCAAGAACUAGAGUGAUAGAUGAAGGCUUUAUCAUCAUGAUCAUAAAUGGCUCCUGCCAGUCCAAUGGUAUACCCAAUGUGGGUCUAACAUGGCAUUGGCAGUGCUACUAAUUCAGUGCAGACUCUGAAAGCAUGAUUCAGAUUGUGUGGAUCUAUUGUGAAUCAGUGCACCUCUGGAUUGUUGUUGGAAAAAGUGAGUGGGUUUUUGCUGGAACCUUAGACUGCCUGUGUGGGUGUGUGAAGACAAAUACCUGUAGAACCAAUAAUUUUAUCCUGACAGACUCAGGGGGAGACCCAUGUAUGGCACCUUGAGCUCCUUGGAGAAAAGAUGGAAUAUGAAUAUAAUAAUAAAGAAUGAUUUCUAUUAUUACAUUUAUACCUCACUUUUCUUCCAAAUAGCUUAAGUUGGCGUACAUGGUUCUCCCCCUCUCCAUUUUAUCAUCACAACAACUCUAUGGAGUAGAGUAGGCUGAGAUAUGGUGACUGGCCCAAGGUCACCCAGUGAACAUCAUUGGUAAAUGGAGAUUUGAGCCCUGCAGUAAACAUGCAUUUCCUGAGAUAGCUUGCAUUUGCUGAGAAGGCAUAGGGUAGGAAUAGAUGAGUGGGCUCGUAGUUUUGCAUAGCAAGGGAUAUAUACUGUACCUUUCUCCUUGUCUGACUUUUUGGUAACCGUAAACAUGAUGCAGUAAAGAUUUUGAAGGCAAAAGUUAAUUAGCUUUUUUCCAUUUUGUGCAAUACUAUACCUGAGAUUGGUGCAUCAUAUUGAAUUCCAAGGAGCCAGGAGAAUUACAGGAAAAAUCCAGGGUGUCUGAAAAUUUGACAUUCAUGCCUAGACAUGUUAUCAUGUCUUCUGUUUUGUGUAGGGUUCAGGGCCGGCCCACCCAUGAGGCAAGUUGAGGGGACCACUUUAAAAGGCAAGAUCUACAGGGGCAGCAAAUUCAGGCUCCAAAUAACUCAUUGCUCGCUGCUGCUGCCAAUGCCGCAGGCUUCUUGGAAGCCAGAUCUGUCUCCUCCUCCUCAGCCUCUUGGCAAGUAGGAGUUGUUGCUGGUCUCUUCCCACCCUUGGGAAAUGACCCUCAGAUCCAGGGUUACUACAGAAAUUUUAGGUGACCUAGCAGAAGCAAACUAUAGAACCAAAGCAACAUGGGACUGCGCACACUUGAUCCCUCAUGAACUUGAAGAUCAAGAAGUAGGGCGUGUUCCGAGUGCAGUCUUUCUGUAAGACGAGAUCGCUUUCUGUUGUAGCACAAGAAUUAUGGGACAUUUCACUUUAAAGGGCCUGCCAAGCACUGUCUUUAUCCAAGUUUUGAUAACAGGUGGCAUCAUUGUACUAUUAAUUUAGUCCAAACAAAUUUUGUCCAGAUCUCUUGUCUGUGGAGCCAGCUUUAUUGAUAGCCAGCUAGAGCUGAGUCAAGAGUGUGAGACAAAGAGCUUUAUUUCAAGUGAGUUUGUUAGUAUAGAGGCAAAUGAGCCAUCAAAAACCCCAGUUAGCAUAUCUGUAUCCUUCCUGCUUUCUUGCUAUGCUAUCUUGGCCCCCCAUCUCCUUAGACUAAGACAGUAUAAGAACAUUCUUUACAUAAUAUAUAUUUACUUAGUUCAAGGGCCAAACUAGUAAUUACAGCAUCAUGACCAACUAGGAUAAUUUCAAGACAUGCAAAUUGGAGAUCAGGAGGCAGGGAAAAGUAACUGAACACACACAUUCUCUCCAUCCCACUUUCCCCUUUAAUUUUUUUCCAAGACCUGAUAACACUCUGCCAAAUAAAUUAUUAGGCAUCUUGCACACACUUUUAUUUUCUAAAUACCUUAAUUCUCUGCCAGCGUUGGAAAUUCAGUUUCAUUGUAUUAAACGAGAUUGCUUUUAUUGAAGGAUUAUCUUGUUCUGAAUGGAAAUGGAAUUUUUCACACCAUAAAAAUGUUGUGAGCCAUACAUUACCAAUGUAUUUGAAGUAUUUGAAGAGUUGGGUGGUUUCAGGAAUAUGGUACUUCAACUCAAACUUAGUCUCUUUCCUGUUUUGAGAGGAAGCUGGUGGCAGUUCUAUCAAUGUCAUUAAAUAAUCUCUUUACUGUUUAUACAGUACAGUUCUAUGUACAUUUGCCCAGUAAGUCCUACUGUAUUCCACUGAACUACUCCCAGGAAAGUGUGCAUAGCAUAGCUUUGCAGCAGCAGUGUUCUUUGCUGCUUCAAACCUGUACACACCUCAUAGGCAUAGAGUUGGAAGGGAGGAGAUAGAUAACAUCCUAUGGUCAGAACUCUGGUUUCUGACUGGGGGGGGGAUUACCCAUGUACUGUAAUGGUUUUAAAAUUCUGAGUUCAGAUGGGCUUUUUUUGCUGUUUGUAUGAUGUUCUGUUUCAUGGCUUUUUAUCAUUUGUACUUCCUGUUUUUUUAAAAAAACAAACCAGAAAAUAGUCAAGAAAUAAUAAUAAAAAAUGCCUGCCCUACUUUCAGAAGGAAAGGGGCGGGAACGGGACACACCACUGCAUAGUGACAGCACAAAAUCUAAUCACAAUAUUAGGAAUUGGUCAUUUAACAGUUCUAACUAAGCCUCUUUUGCUAUUUUGGAAAUGCAAACAUUAUGGGUGGUAAUCAAUGCUAGUCCUACAAUGCUAGUCCCCCUAGAGCAGAUCCACUGAAGUUAAUGGACGUGACUAACUUAACUUAAUCAAUUUCAAUGGGUCUGAGCAAGACUCAACUGAACACAACUCUAAGCGAUGUUUCAAAUCUUCCUGGAAUUGUCUCCCCCUUCCAGAACCUUUGGUGGAAACCAGCUACAGUAUUUUCCUCUUCAAAAUGACAGCUAUUGCAGGACCUAGUUUGCUAGCUAUGCAGCAACGAGCUUCUUUGCUGUCAACAGUACAGGUUGAUUUACAGUAGCAGACUUGGAGAAUCUGAUUACCGAAAGUAGAUGAGCAAAAAGAUAAGAGCUGCAGGGUUUAAAAAGGUAUUUGUCUCAUUAUCCUAGUGACACUGAGCAGACUUUUCUCUUCAGGGAGGUCUGUAGCAAGGACCAGGCUUCUAUGCUGAGCAGAGGUUAUCUGAGGUAGAAGCGUAAUCUCUUAAAUCUGUAGAUAAAUUACAUGCCAGAAAUUAAAUUUUACAGAACAAGGUAACUGCUGACCCAUAAAGGAGUAGAAGGAUGAUUGGUUCCCCAAAACAGAGACUGUUAUCCUAAGUCCAGUUAUGCUGAAGCACUUAAUUUGAGUUGGUUUGUGUGCAUUAGGACUAAUGGCUUGAUCCAGAGAAGUUAUUUCAUCUGGAGCAACACAAACAGUGUUUUGUGCUGUUUCAACUGAAGCAACACCAUGUAUAUUGUGGAACAGAGCCAUGCAGCUCUACAGUACCUGUCAUUAAAACUCAUGAUCUUGAUCCAGCUGAAGUUAAGCAGUUUCAAGCCUUAUUCAUUUCAAUAGAUGAAAUUCCAGCAGGUGCUUAAUGCUGCAAUUGAAACAACAAGAACAACAAGAGCAAUAAUAACAAUAAUUAUAUUUAUAUGCCACCCAUCUGUCUGGGCUGCACCAGCCACUCUGGACGGCUCCCAACAAAAUAUUAAAAACAGAAGAGAAAAAAAUCAAAUGAAUGAAACUUAGAAACAAUUUUUAAAAAUAUAAAAGGGAAUAAAUCUGUUUAAAAGAAACAAAACACACUUCAUUAUUUUAAUCACUGUCAGCUAUCUAUAUAUUUAUGUUGCUAAUAGUCAGAUUUAAAUAUCAGUUAACAUUCCCAAAUUAUAUAUUGAGGGGGAAAGUGUUCUUUUAAGAAUUAAAGGUUGGUUAUCCUCAGUCCUAUCACUUCCAUAUGCAGACAUCUCGGUUCAUUCUGGGUUAUGUAUUUUUUUCUUCUGAUGUGGACUUGGUUUACUGUUAUUGGGCUCUCUCUGUGUGUUUUGGAAAUGUGCCGGCUUUGGAAUCAUGUCACAGCUGCUGUGCUUUUCCCUUCACAGAGGAAGCUAGCUAAAUUAUUUGCAUAGACAGUCCCUUAAUUUAUCUUGUCUUGGUAGCUGCAUUUGUCUCAGAUAAGAAGUAGCAUCUAAUGGAAGCUGAUUCAGAUAGUGCCUUUUAUUAUGCACACACAAAUUUCAAGGCAUACAUUAAAAUGUAAAGCAUGCAUGGAUAUGGCUCUAUGCUGCACGUGUGCAUUUAGUGUUACUGUUGAGUAAUAAAUUAAAAGUAGUCCUAAGACAUUGACCACUGAAAAGACAAGCUGCUUUUUAAAGCAAGCCAAACUUUUCUCUUUGUGCAUGGCUGUGAAUAAAACAUCAAAGCCCCAGUUGCAGCUUUCCUGUGCAUACAGCCCUUUCUUGAAAAAUAGGUAAUUCUUUUAUUAGGAUUAGUUAUUAGAACCAGUUAUUAGAAUGUUGGAUUCAAACUUGUGUCAAAUAAAUCCCUCGGGCAAACAAACAAACAAACAAACAAACAAACAAACAAGCAAAUGCAGUCUUUCAUGUGUACACAAAUUUCCUGGCCUCAAGACAGAAAACAAAAGCUGAAGCAGACAGCUCACUUAUAAAUAUUAGGGGGGGGGGGAUUUAAUCAUAAAUGUGAGUUACAGUUUACAAAAGGUUUUCCCUCCUUUUCAAAUUUACUGCAGCUCUUGUGCAUCAUAGAUUCAGGGCCCAAGGUAAAUGAUUCCAAGGGUGAUGUUUAACU